AAAGACACUACGCUUCCUACAAGGACAACUGUAGUUUACCGCAGAGAACGUCUAAUAAGGCAAACAGAGCCAAUACCGCCUGUGAACUGUUGUGGCGGUGAACGUGGGGUCAGAACACUACAGUUUGAUGAUGGGGUGUGGAACGGAGCUCAAGGUGCCCACCCAGUCUUGGAUGGGCACUGAAGCCGAAUUUGAUUCUGAUUAUUUGAGACAGAUGAUCAGGACGAACAGGUGGACUGUGAGGCCAUGGCAGACCUUGAGGCAUUCCUUCAUGAGCCAUGAACACACACAGACACACAUGCACUCAGGCACACACACACACACAAAAC